rnacentral:rRNA from 1 species
GAUGAACGCUGGCGGCGUGCCUAAUACAUGCAAGUCGAGCGAACGGACGAGAAGCUUGCUUCUCUGAUGUUAGCGGCGGACGGGUGAGUAACACGUGGAUAACCUACCUAUAAGACUGGGAUCACUUCGGGAAACCGGAGCUAAUACCGGAUGAUCUUUUGAACCGCAUGGUUCAAAAGUGAAAGACGGUCUUGCUGUCACUUAUAGAUGGAUCCGCGCUGCAUUAGCUAGUUGGUAAGGUAACGGCUUACCAAGGCAACGAUGCAUAGCCGACCUGAGAGGGGGAUCGGCCACACUGGAACGGAGACACGGUCCAGAGGCCUACGGGAGGCAGCAGUAGGGAAUCUUCCGCAAUGGGCGAAAGCCUGACGGAGCAACGCCGCGUGAGUGAUGAAGGUCUUCGGAUCGUAAAACUCUGUUAUUAGGGAAGAACAUAUGUGUAAGUAACUGUGCACAUCUUGACGGUACCGAAUCAGAAAGCCACGGCUAACUACGUG